rnacentral:rRNA from 1 species
UUCGCCUGCAUGAAGCCGGAAUUGCUAGUAAUGGCAGGUCAGCAUACUGCCGUGAAUACGUUCCCGGGCCUUGUACACACCGCCCGUCACACCAUGAGAGUUGGGGAUACCCAAAGCCCGUGAGCCAACUUUUAAAGAGGCAGCGGUCUAAGGUAGAAUCAAUGAUUGGGGUGAAGUCGUAACAAGGUAAC